CAAGCUGCAGCUGAGAGAAUGAAG
rnacentral:piRNA from 1 species